GAGAGGAUUCAUUUUCUGGACUUUUCAAGAACCUUCAACACCAUUCAACCCCUUCUGCUUCAGGACAAACUGGCCAAAAUGUGAGUGGACCCCUGCCUGGUGUCUUGGAAUUUCCAGCUACCCCACUGACAGACCACAGUAUGUCAGGCUGAAGGACAUCACGUCUGACACUGUGGUCAGUAGCACAGUAGCACCACAAGGGACUGUAAUGGCACCAUUACUCUUCACCUUUACACCUCUGACUUCUGUUCCAACUCUGAGAUGUGUCACAUUUAGAUGUUUGCUGAUGACACAGGCGGCUAUCGUGGGAUGCAUAUGGGGUGAUAGUGAGGAGGAGAACAGGAGCCUUAAAAGUCCAGACCACGUCCUAGACCCGUUCAGAUUGAGGGGGCUGUAGUUGAGAACGUUGUCUCCUACAAGUACCUCGGGCUCUGGCUGGACAACAAGCUGAACUGGGCGAGCAACACAGACCAUCUGUAUGGGAAAGCCCAAGGCAGACCGUACUUCCUGAGGAGGAGGCGAUCAUUCAACAUCUACAGGAAACGCAGCACAUCAAAAAAGGACUCAUCAAGGUUGGACAAGCUGAUCAGGCAGGCCGGCUCUGUGGUCAGCAUGAAGCUGGACUCUGUGACAGUGGCAGAGAGGAGAACAUCCAACAAACUGCUGGAUAUUCUGGACAAUGUCAGCCAUCCUCUGCACACUUUGAUCAGCAACCAGAAGAGCUCGUUCAGCGACUGGAUGCUCCUCCUCAAGAGUAACACUAACUUUUUUCCCCCAUGCCAACUGUUCAACACCAUACAAAAUGUAGCAUUUUGUAACAUGUCUAUGGCGAUUGUGAUUGCCAGGUACUCCAGACGGGGCCAGGUGUCAGCAGGGCCUACAGAACACACACUCACAGAGACCAGGUCCUGGGGAGAAUGUUAAUGCUGGCCGCCAUCUGUCGCUCCAUGAUGGCUCUGUGGAAGAAAAGGAAAACGUUGCAUGGCGGCGAAUCGUUCCAAAGCAGAGAGGUUCAGAGAUAGAAACAUUGACCACGUAAAAAAUAUGGUUUGAGGCUUUGCCGUGAGCAGAUACAGCAUACAACCCAACCCCUCUUUAGUAUUCAAAUGGAGGGACAGCAACGCAAAAAAAUAGGAGAAAAGAGCAGGCCCCGGCUCUCAGAAGACAUAACAGGCCGUGGCCUCACUCGUAUCUCAGGGCCAGAGCAAAGAUCCUAACUUUCUCCAAAGUACUCCCUGACCAAUUUCAAGGUUGAGGAAACCUUCAGAAAUUGUCUCAGAAUAAUGUUUUACCACAACACUUUGAGUUUAAUAAGUGCAGCGCAACUGAUCAAUGAUUUAUACACACACACACACACAACACAGAGUGACAGAGUGACGGGUUGGCAUGCGGGAGGCCAGCCGGCGCUACAGGGGCCUACCUGCCGAUGUCCUGGGCCACCUGCUCGUUAGGGGUGCCGAUCAGCAGGACCGAGUUGUGGCCCGCUACAGGGGUCCCAGUGAUGACGGCGUAGAGCCGAGCCCCCAUGGACCACAGACCGGGGUACAACGCCACGGACAGGAACACCAGC